GAACGCUGGCGGCGUGCUUAACACAUGCAAGUCGAACGAUGAAGCCCAGCUUGCUGGGUGGAUUAGUGGCGAACGGGUGAGUAACACGUGAGCAACCUGCCCCUGACUCUGGGAUAAGCGCUGGAAACGGCGUCUAAUACUGGAUAUGUCCCGUCACCGCAUGGUGUGCGGGUGGAAAGAUUUUUCGGUUGGGGAUGGGCUCGCGGCCUAUCAGCUUGUUGGUGAGGUAAUGGCUCACCAAGGCGUCGACGGGUAGCCGGCCUGAGAGGGUGACCGGCCACACUGGGACUGAGACACGGCCCAGACUCCUACGGGAGGCAGCAGUGGGGAAUAUUGCACAAUGGGCGGAAGCCUGAUGCAGCAACGCCGCGUGAGGGAUGACGGCCUUCGGGUUGUAAACCUCUUUUAGCAGGGAAGAAGCGAAAGUGACGGUACCUGCAGAAAAAGCACCGGCUAACUACGUG
rnacentral:rRNA from 1 species